CAUUACUCUUCACUUGCCUAUUCCGUAGUCUUCUUGACUUCUCCGGAUGUUCUUUUUUCACACAAGUGAUAAUGUUUUUGGCCGAUCCCCUUUCUUCUUCCCUUUUUUUCUUCUUCAGUGAAAAUUUGCUACUGCUGGAUAGCUCCCAUCUGCAUUCGUCCUAUCCUGAAGCCACCCCCGCACCUGGUGCUUCCACAGGUUGCCCAUCGACGGCGGCUAGUUUUCCUCCUCGUACACCUCCUGUGGGUUGGUAAAUGGGGAUCUGGUGCGCCAGUUAGGAGGCGAGAUGGUCGAUCUGCACGGUGUCGUUGAUGUUGUGGUCUGUGCAAUUGAUUCGGUGAUGGAUUUCAUCUCCCGCAGGUCUGCAAUUUUCCUUGAUCCAGCUUUAGUAUGAGGAUGGUAGUGUUUAAAAUAAUUGUGUUUGUUAUUUUUGUUGAUAUUACCUCACUAUUGAUUUCUUCACUUGUGAAAUCACCAUCUGUAUCAUUUCCUUCCUCUUGUACCUGUAAGAUAUAAUGUGGAAAUUUAACAAUGUAUUAUGUAAUGCAUAUAUAAGAUGAAAUGCAUACAUAAUAUUAGGCCAAAGUGGGAAAUGACCGAUACACUGAUGGAUUAUUAUUUCAUACCAAUGAUUGUAUAUUUUGGAAAUAAUAUAUUUAAAAUUAAAUCAUUUUCCUUUUAUUUGAUGGUACCUCAUUAUUGGUUUCUUCAUUGGCGGAAUCAUCAUUUGUGUCAUUUUCUUCCUCUUGUACCUGUAAGAUAGCGGUAGUUUAACAACGCAUUAAAAAUGAACAUCAUAGAGCAUAUUGUUAAUAGAUAUUUAAGGUGGAAUGUAUUCAGCUGAAGUUAUGUAUUGUUUUUUUGAACUUCGCGGAAGCAACCUUGGUCUUAACAUUUUUAUAUCCCUCGCUGUGGUUGUCGUUUCUGAAAUCCUUGUUAUAUCUCGGAUCUGCAGUUUCUUUGACCUCACUAUUGAAUUUGUUUUUGUUCACAACUCUUCUGAGUUUCUUGUUGGUAGGCCUUCUGACAUGUGUAUUGUUUUGUCUGCAGUCUUUAUCUGAAUCAUCUUCUAUGGUAAUUAUAUCUGAACCUGUAGCUUGAAUGUUUGCUACCUCCUUUUCAAAUAUAUUUUCCUGUUUUUUCAGCGAUGUCAUAAAAUAGUAGUAGUAGUAGUAUGUGUGUGUGUGUGUGUGUGUGUGUGUGUGUGUGUGUGUGUGUGUGUAAUGAGGGAAAGUAAUUUGAAAGAGGAUCUCAGUAUAGAAUUUCUCUAUACGAACCUUUUUUGCGAAGCCUUUCUUUUGAAAUCUUGUUUACAUCUCUUUUGUUUUGUCUCUCCUUUUAUCUUCUGUGAAAAAGUUUUUGGCUCUUCCCGUGCGUUGUAUUAUGUCAUAAAUAAAUAGGCCAUAAUUAAUUAUCAAUGCAUACACAGGGAGAUAAUGUUUUAAAUUUGUUACCUCGUCAUCAGGAGCUUCAAUUUUAACAACUGAUUUUCUGCUAUUUCUGGAAGCAAACGGUCUCACAUCUUUUUCAUAUCUUUUGCUAGACUUUUGUAUCUUUGUCCUGCGUUGUUCCUUUUGGUUAGAGGAUAUUGAGGUUUCCUUUCUGCACAUAUCCUUCUUCUCAUCAUUUGUUGCAUUCUUGGAGGAGUGGUUCACCUAUAAGAAUAAAAAUAUUUUUUUUAACAUUUUAAAGAAAAAAUUGCACACUUGUCAGAGCAAAACCAUUAAUUAGUGGGAAUACCUCGUUAUGGGACUUGUGCAUAGCCAAAUUUGAAGAACCUUGUGUGUCUUGCCUUUCCAGUAUGCUCUAUAAAGAGUGUACUUGUAUUAUAGUUUUAUAAGCCAUUUAAAAUACUGAAAUGUGCAUGUGCAUACCUCUUCAACCAUUUCAUUUGAAUAUUCCAUCUCAAGUUUGUCAUCAACUUCAAAAGUGAAACUCACUUUAAAAUUUUCCAUACACUCUUGUAGAUUCCUUGAAUUUUACUUCAGCCGAAAUAUGAGUGUUCUGCCAUAAAGGGUUUGAAUAACAUCUGGUACUGUGUUGUUGAAUCCCUCCUGCUCUAAUAGGGUCGAUGCAGACAUGUUGCCUAAAAGACUCUUUGCUACCUCAUUAAACACCACAAAAGUUGUGGUUCCGUGUCAUCGCGUACCUUGAGUUUAAGUAGGUACCUAGUAUGAUAUUGUCAAGUUAUUACUGGUAUAUUAUUAAAACAAAUGGCACCAAAUACAAUCUAGUUCACAAUAUGCUCACCACAUGUGUGGAUUUUCAUCUACUUCACGACAGGAAGUGCAAAUAUAGUUAUCAUGUUCCUUUUUUACAGCACAAAAGGAAAGUUUGCAUGCCAUGUACCACCACCCUUUAUCUGUUAUAAUAUCAUCAAUCGUUGCUUUUGUUGUGCAUACAAAUUCCGGUUAAGGAGAAAACAUGAGAUUAUAUAAUAAUGUACAAUAAAGACACGACAGUAUGCUGAUCAAGGUUAGAGAGAAACCUUUCUUUUAACAUCAGCAUAUCGCAGUUCUAUAAUUUCCUUCAAUGUUUUUCUGUUGUACAACAUUUGCUCCUCAAUUGUUCGUUGGGUGCUUUCGUUGAUUCCAAUCAUUGUUGGAAUAACAUCUCUUUCACGAUACCUAUAAUAGAUUACAACAUGUCCACAUAAACUUGUAACUUCAAAAACAUAUAUAAUUGCAUUAUUAUAUAUAUACCAUACCUCUCAAUAAUUUGGUUUGUCUCUGGAAUUUCAGGGCUGAGGAAGACUUUAGAUGCAUUUGUUGUGCAUAGUGAUAGCCCUGGUAAGAAAGUCAGUAAUUUGGAUUUGAGUUCACACACAGGGAUUAUAGUCCUCACCAUUGAAUUUUCUGACCAAAUUUGAAGUGACAAUCACUACUGUUUGUUUGUGCGGAAGUCUUUCAUUCACCAUAUUUGCUAAAAUAUCACCCCAUAGCGUGAUCCGGAUCUUUUCAUCACUGCAUGAAUUUAAUCAUGAAAAAGUGAUAUAAAGAUCAUCUAUGUAAUUCAAAAAAAACUAUAGUAAUAUAAUCACUUACUCUAGUAAAAGGAUUUCAAUCUCACGGAUGUUUGAAGUUUGCGCCAUGCCCGUCCCUUUAUUUUUUUUGUACUUGCUCUAUUGUUUCAUUGCAGUAAGCAAUCCAAUGACAUCUGCACAUAAUCAUAUUUAAUAUCUGGCUAGUUCACCAAUGCUUGUUCUUCGAUAUUGAUUAUGAUCAUACCUGAGCACUGUCUUAUCAAUAUUCACCCUACUAUCCAAGGUAUCACCAUCAGCAAAUUCGAAGUGGUAAUCGAAAAACUUGGAUUUUCCUUCAUCCACUUCCUUCACUACUGUAUCAUAAAGAAAACUGAUUUUGAGAUUGUUCUUCAAUGGUCGGUAUUUUUCAUACUCCCAGACUUUGAAGGUCUUAAUUAUGUAUAUGAAGUCCUCUUUAAUCUUUGACUUAAAUUUAUUGACCAGUGUGCUCCCAAUAGAAGCAUGGAUCGCAUCGCCCUACAUAAAGAGAAAACAUCAGCAAACUUUAGAAAGCAUAAAUUGAAGAGACAUUAUAUAUGCUUGCACCUUUCUGUCCAGUAAAAUCAUAUCUGUGCUAAUGAGCUCAUUAGUCGAUAAGUUAAUUGCAUCCCAGUCUUAAAACUUUGACUUUGAUUGUCCAUGUCUCGUUUCGUGUAGUCAAUGCAUUCAACGGUGUAUGUUCCAUAAUCUUUGAGGCCCUAUAAAUAUAAGAACAGAAUGUUGAUUAGUAAAGUAAGUAAUAUAAUUACAUGCAAGCAAUCCCAUUUGUUUUUGAGACUUCUAUAGUAUAUUAUCUUAACGUGAAAACUGGAAGCAACAUCCAUGGCAUUAACCUUCUGUACAUGAUUAUAUGAAAUAAAAGUAGAUGAAUCAAUGCAAUUUUAUUGACAAUUGGUCUUAAUUUAUGUUUGUUUCAGAUGGAGCUGAUGCCAUGGGGACAGAAACCCACUAUAGCAUCUGAGGCUGAUCAAAUAUGGAAGCCAUCUAUGUCUGUUUCUCUGUAUUUGUUUGUUCGUGAUGAAACUUAUGAAGCUUACUUGAUGUUGAUCGAUUGCUCGACGGUACCUGUAUUGUGGUCGCUGGAGGAAGACAAUUCUGUAGUCGAAGUUUUGGUCGCUGGAGGAAGAUGAGGAAGAUAUUGCAGAAUUGUACUCUAAAAUCUAGAGGACAAUGAACCUUCCUAAAAUCUAAAAAGUGGCCGCGCACUAACUAAACGAACCGGGCGGCCGAUUUGUGGCCGUCUUAUCUCGCUCGAAUUGUCGUGCGCGUGGGCCAGGUGCCAGAUGGUCGGGACGCUCACACGACUGACUGAGGCAAAAUAGUAGACCACUUCCGUCCGCACCCAUCGCUAUCCACUCGCCUCCCCACCUCCCUCGCAUUUGUCGCCGCCUCCGCCGGUCCGCCCCAACUUGUGCCGGCCGCCGCUGCCGAUCCACCUCGCCUCGGCCGACGCGGCCCACCACGGUUGCGGCAUCUCGCCUGCCACGCCUCCACGCCGCCGUCUCCCGUCCGCCACCUCGCCUUUUCUUCUGCAUCUAGCCGUCGGUCCUCCGCGAACGGCCCUUCCCUCGCCUCCUUGCUAAUUAGUCCGUGCGAGAGCGAAGAAGGUGUCUCCCCUAUCCACGAAUUUCAGCAAGCACUCAAUCUACAAGCUCACCCGUACAGCCGGUGCUCCGUACUUCUACAUCCUUUCAUGAAAUUUCAGUGAGAAGGAAGCCUGUGCGCGUGUGUGGUCGCUGCUAUGUUCCCAUUCGAGUUGUGCGUAUGCGCUGCUGCAUCCAGAUCCAUCCUCAAUGGAGGUUUACUGCCAGGUUUAUUUGUCAAGAACCUGACAUAGAUUCUGCACAUAAUUCAAUGCUACAAUUCUUAUACACUGCUAUUUGGAUGAAGAAAGAAGAUUCAGAUGGCAGAAAAUAGUUUUCAUCUUUUUCUGUUUUUUCUUUAGUAUAUUGAACAUAUUUUCCCUACUGCAUUUUCUAUGUGACAAGACUAUGUACGCUUGAUGUUACUAUGUUUUGUGCUUUAUUAGUCUGCUUUGUUUUUGUUGCACAGAUUGCAGCAAAAGUUGGCAUGGAUCCAUGUAUGGUUGCACAAAUAUCAUUUCUUUUGCACAGACACUACAUGCAAUUUUAUUGUUCUAUCUGCAACUACACAUUGUGUUUAUUUGCACAUAUCCAGGCAAAAGUUGGCUUACUUUCAUGUUUAGUUACACAAAUAGAUGGUUUUUUUGCACAGGCACUACAUCCUGUCUAUUUUUGCAUAUGCAACUACUCCUUUUUUUAUAUGCACACAUCCAGGCAAAAGUUGGCUUAGAUUCAUGUUUAGUUGCACAAAUAGAUGAUUUUUUGCACAGGCACUUCACCCUGUCUAUUUUUGCAUAAUGGUAGGUUUAUUUGCACGCAUCCAGGCAAAAGUUGGCUUGGAUCCAUGUUUAGUUGCACAGGAAAGUGUUCUAUUGUGCAGAGAUCAUAUUCAACUCUAUUUGCUGCUUCAUGUUCCUUCUUCCUUCAACUAUGGAGAAGACCGGAGAAGAUUUGUGGCAGAUCUAGAGGGAAAGGGAAGGGGAAAGUGAAGAAGGAUGAUCUGGAGGCUAGAGGGAAGUUACUUGAUGCUGCUACCUGCUAUGGCUUUGUACUCCUUCUUAGAAUUGAAGCUUUUCUGGCCAAUUUCUUCACCUAGUUUUGCUCUGCCAUGGCAGCUCUGUAGGGUUUGGAUCUAGGCCUGGGAUACACUUCUUUCGUGGAGAAUCAAAAGGGCGACCCGUGGGGGGAGGAAGUGUGGGCGAGCUGUGCGUGGGAGGCGUGGGGAUGUGGUUAUCACGUGACAGCGAUGGGGGAGAUUUUCUGUUUGUUGGGAGCGUGCGCAGUCGGGUAGGAAGGAACUUUCCUUCCUGGGACCAAGGGGGACAGGAAGUUGCCUUUUAUGGCUGGCCGCUCCAUCGCGCUAGUGGGCAGCCGGCCGCCCACUAGACGCUCCCAUGAACCUUUGAGGUGGCGUGGAAGGUCUUAUAUUGAUGGCUGAGUUUCUCUCAUCUGCACGAUUGAAAGAAAGUUUUUUUGAUGCUAUCUUGACAGAUAUUCCGUUUGGAGACAUAUGUUUUUGUGUAGAAAGGAAGAGAUAUGGUAGUUUUGAUUUGUUUGGCUACAUCCUGUACAACCUCUAUUAUGCGUGUGAUUGCCCAACUGA